rnacentral:rRNA from 1 species
CCUACGGGUGGCAGCAGUGGGGAAUAUUGGGCAAUGGGCGCAAGCCUGACCCAGCAACGCCGCGUGAAGGAAGAAGGCUUUCGGGUUGUAAACUUCUUUUCUCAGGGACGAAGAAAGCGACGGUACCUGAGGAAUAAGCCACGGCUAACUACGUGCCAGCAGCCGCGGUAAUCCGUAGGUGGCAAGCGUUAUCCGGAUUUAUUGGGUGUACAGGGCGUGUAGGCGGGAGCGCAAGUCAGAUGUGAAAACUCAGGGCUCAACCCUGAGCCUGCAUUUGAAACUGUGUUUCUUGAGUGCUGGGGAGGCAAGCGGAAUUCCGGGUGUAGCGGUGAAAUGCGUAGAUAUACGGAGGAACACCAGUGGCGAAGGCGGAUUGCUGGACAGUAACUGACGCUGAGGCGCGAAGGCGUGGGGAGCAAACAGGAUUAGAUACCCCAGUAGUC